rnacentral:rRNA from 1 species
GACGAACGCUGGCGGCGUGCUUAACACAUGCAAGUCGAGCGAUGAAUUUUCUUCGGAAAUGGAUUAGCGGCGAACGGGUGAGGAACACGUGAAGAAUCUGCCCUCCACUUUGGGAUAACACAGGGAAACCUGUGCUAAUACCGAAUAUUGAAACAUAAGUGGCAUCACUGAGUUUUGAAAGAAUUUCGGUGGAGGAUGACUUCGCGGCCUAUCAGCUAGUUGGUGAGGUAAUGGCUCACCAAGGCAACGACGGGUAGCCGGCCUGAGAGGGCGACCGGCCACACUGGGACUGAGACACGGCCCAGACUCCUACGGGAGGCAGCAGUGGGGAAUAUUGGGCAAUGGAGGAAACUCUGACCCAGCGACGCCGCGUGCGGGAUGAAGGCCUUCGGGUUGUAAACCGCUUUCAGUAGGGAAGAAGCGAAAGUGACGGUACCUACAAAAGAAGCACCGGCUAACUAUGUGCCAGCAGCCGCCGUAAGAC